CCUACGGGUGGCAGCCCUGCUUACUCUUUUUCCCUUGUCGCAAACAUGAACCAUCCAAUUCUCUUGAAUUAUUCCUUCCCUCCUUUUUUUAAACUUCUUUUAUAGAGGAGUAAAGUGAGGCACGUGUGCCUUUUUGUAUGUCUUUUAUGAAUCAGGCUCGGCUAACUCCGUGCCAGCAGCCGCGGUAAUACGGAGGUACCGGGCGUUAUCCGGAUUUAUUGGGUUUAAAGGGAGCGUAGAUGGGUUGUUAAGUCAGUAGUGAAAGGUUGCGGAUCAACCGUCAAAUUGCAAUUGAUACUGUCAGUCUUGAGUACAGUAGAGGUACGCGGAAUUCGUGGUGUAGCGGUGAAAUGCUUAGAUAUCACGAAGAACUCCGAUUGCGAAGGCAGCUUACUGGACUGUAACUGACAUUGAGGCUCGAAAGUGUGGGUAUCAAACAGGAUUAGAUACCCGAGUAGUC
rnacentral:rRNA from 1 species